GAGAGGUGGCAGAGUGGUCGAUUGCGACGGUCUCGAAACUUGUUUUCGUUUAAACAAAAAAGGGUUCAAAUCCCCCUCUCUCC
rnacentral:tRNA from 1 species